rnacentral:rRNA from 1 species
GCAGUAGCCACGGUAAUACGAAGGGUGCAAGCGUUACUCGGAAUUACUGGGCGUAAAGCGUGCGUAGGUGGUGGUUUAAGUCCGUUGUGAAAGCCCUGGGCUCAACCUGGGAAUUGCAGUGGAUACUGGGUCACUAGAGUGUGGUAGAGGAUAGUGGAAUUUCCGGUGUAGCAGUGAAAUGCGUAGAGAUCGGAAGGAACAUCUGUGGCGAAGGCGACUAUCUGGGCCAACACUGACACUGAGGCACGAAAGCGUGGGGAGCAAACAGGAUUAGAUACCCCCGUAGUCCCUGUCUCUUAUAA